rnacentral:lncRNA from 1 species
UAGUGAUAUUGUAAUAUAUCAGACGGGGAGUGUUCUGACUCCAAAUCCGGAAUUGUGGUUACCAUUUUUGACUCUAAUUUUUGAAUCAUCACUUUACUUCCUACUUGUUUUGAAAACAACUUGAGAUACACUUUACAUGUUAUUUCCUUACUGUCUCGUAACGUGGUAAGCUUUUUAUAUCUAUAAUAUUGUCAUAUAUAUUUAAUUCUAACCCCGUAAACGUUUUUUAUGAGAAAUCCCUAUCGUAAAGUUAAAUUUUUUGAUAUGACAUGUGUAUAAUUUUCCACGCCAAAUUUUUAAAUCUAUGGAACGCCAUUCGGGACAUUUAUGUAUAGGUAUACAUGUAUGGCAUGCAAUUUGGGAUAAAAUUUGUAAAUGUGUUAUAUGUUUUUUGGGUUAUUUUCAUUGUAUUUUUGAGCUGAUAAACAUGUUGUUUAUGCUUUAUUGAUGUUUUGAUCAUAUUGUAAAGUUGUUUAUUUUUUUUUCUUUCAGUUUUUACCAUACUUCUUAUUGGAAUGAUGUACUACGCACCUAUUGGUUGUCAUUUUCAGUGCUUUAUGUGAAUAAAGUAUUAACAUUCUAUAAUUUGUU